GUGAUCUAAUUUUACUGCAAAAAUAAUAUGCAAAGUAGUUACAUUGAGCAUAAGGUAAUGUGAGUUUUUUGAAUGAUAUUAAUGUUUGUGUUGUGUCGUUGUAUGUGGCAGAAUAAGACAAAUCACCAAUUAUUUUGCAUCCACUAAAACAUUAGAGCUUUCACAAUCAGAAAUGGAGCACAAUCAUCUAUAGUCACAACCACUAUAUCACUAAAUAUCUUUAGAAGAUAUUAUGAUUUUCUUAUGAACAAUUGAAGCAUAUUAUUAUAUUGAUUAGAAAUAUAUGGUGAGAAUUGAGAAUCACCACUAAAUUUUUUUAAGUAUUUUUGAAGGGUAUAUUUAGUAUAAAACAAUUUUUUUUUGUGACAAAUAUAUUCCCCCAAUUGCUUAUAACCUUCUCAAAACAUCUUAUUUUCUUCUGGGCAAAUUCUUAAAAUCUAUAAUAAAAUACAAAUUCAUAUUCAUAACUUUUC
rnacentral:lncRNA from 1 species